GGGUUGUGUGGACAUUAUAGAUUCUAGUCCUGCAUGAGUGGAGCACUGCAAGCCUAAAAGUGAUCAGCAAACAAAACAGAAAAGCGGAGAGCUGCGGCCGAAAUCACGAGAUUACUUUCAACCUGUUGAGCACGACACGCGGGACGCUUGUUUAACAUGGCUGCUGUGGUCUUCAUGGUCCUUAAUGCAAAAGAACGAUUUUUGCAGAAUAUUUCGGAACUAGACAAACCCAUUCGAUGCUUUGGACAACGAACAACUGUAUCAAACAUUCCGAUUAUGUCAGCAGGAUUUUCUGGAAAUAAUGGGUGAUAAAAUAAGAGUCGCCUUCAAAUUGCAUAUCUGGGAUUGAGCGUCAUUCUGAAGACAUGCAUACGAAUUAAAUUUCCGAAGAGCCUAGAGUCGUCUGCAGCAAGAACUAUUACUCGAUUGAUGCUCAGGUCUGCAUUGGUAUUCAUUAUGCAUGGAUGAAGUCUAGCAAAACAGGACUUAAAAGAAGGUAUCUUAUGACGCCCGCCUUUGAUCCCACUAUGAGUUACAAGAAGCUGUAUAAUGCAGCACACCAAUUCAGGUUGCACAAUGUUGCCAAAUGAUGUCACUGCCAGCAAGGUCUUGGGCUGAAACCAGAAAAGGUAUGCCAUAUUAUAACAGUCUGCUUUGUGCCAAGCAUCAAGGUGAAGAUAAUCGCUCACAGUGAAGAUAAUGGUGGUUACAGGUACUUACUGACAAUGUAUUUGCUUUAUCUUCCAACUCAAAGGACUUCUUUUACAGAAGGCAAAGCUGAAAGAAACAUUUUUGCUGAUUUGCUAUGAUGAGGUCUUUAGCAUAAUUUUGUAUAAUUUUAACCAGCAUUGCCAAUAUAAACAGUUCAUGAUGGGGCAAAAUGGCAUGUGCAAGUCCUUUAGCCAUUGAUACUCAAGACUGCAGGAUCUAGACUAUGUCAACGACCUAGGCUCCAAGAAAAGAUUAAAAACCUUUUUCAUUUUA